CCCUGGUGGCUCAGAUGGUAAAGAAUCUGCCUGCAAUGCAGGAUACCCAAGUUCGAUCCCUGGAUCAGGAA
rnacentral:tRNA from 1 species